UACAGAGGGGGCAAGCGUUAUUCGGAAUUAUUGGGCGUAAAGGGCGCGUAGGCGGCUUUUCAAGUGACGGGUGAAAUCCCUCGGCUUAACCGAGGAACUGCCUGUCAGACUGGAAGGCUUGAGACCGGGAGAGGUGAGUGGAAUUCCCAGUGUAGCGGUGAAAUGCGUAGAUAUUGGGAGGAACACCAGUGGCGAAGGCGGCUCACUGGACCGGAACUGACACUGAGGCACGAAAGCGUGGGGAGCAAACAGG
rnacentral:rRNA from 1 species